GACGAACGCUGGCGGCGUGCUUAACACAUGCAAGUCGAACGGAAGGGCCCUGCUUUUGUGGGGUGCUCGAGUGGCGAACGGGUGAGUAACACGUGAGUAACCUGCCCUUGACUUUGGGAUAACUUCAGGAAACUGGGGCUAAUACCGGAUAGGAGCUCCUGCUGCAUGGUGGGGGUUGGAAAGUUUCGGCGGUUGGGGAUGGACUCGCGGCUUAUCAGCUUGUUGGUGGGGUAGUGGCUUACCAAGGCUUUGACGGGUAGCCGGCCUGAGAGGGUGACCGGCCACAUUGGGACUGAGAUACGGCCCAGACUCCUACGGGAGGCAGCAGUGGGGAAUAUUGCACAAUGGGCGGAAGCCUGAUGCAGCAACGCCGCGUGCGGGAUGACGGCCUUCGGGUUGUAAACCGCUUUCGCCUGUGACGAAGCGUGAGUGACGGUAAUGGGUAAAGAAGCACCGGCUAGCUACGUG
rnacentral:rRNA from 1 species